CCAGAUCCAGACUCAACCUUUAGGUUCAGAGUCUCACUUUCUCUACCACAUCAGAGCGAAAAUGUGGAAUUUUGGGCAAUCGAUAUUGGGAGGAAAUGAAGAAGAUCGAGAAGAGUUCUUGGAAGACUCCGAUGGCCUUUGCAAUCUCUCUCCAGUGCAAAGAAUGUACGGGUUUGCAGCUUGUUUGGUUGCUGGUUUCGCUUGUAUGCUCCUGUCAUUGAUUGUUUUUGCUAAACCCAUCAAAUUUGCAGUAUUGUUCACCUUUGGCAACUUGCUUGCUGUUGGAAGCACAGCCUUCCUAAUUGGGCCUGUACAACAAAUAAGAAUGAUGUUUGAUCCUGUCCGUAUCUAUGCAACAGCUAUUUACAUCGGGUUUGUUGUUAUAGCCCUCAUUUGUGCUCUCUGGAUCCAUAAUAAAAUUUUAACAAUCAUUGCAAUCAUAUGCGAGAUCUGCGCCCUUAUUUGGUACAGUUUAAGUUAUAUUCCUUUUGCUCGUGGCAUGGUUUCUCGACUGACGGUCCGUUUUUUUGACACGGAGAUUUAGAUCAUGCAAUUUUGAAUGAGUGCCCGCCAAACAAACUAGUUGAUAACGUCAAGUCGGAGUGCCCGCCAAACAAACUAGUUGAUAACGUCAAGUCGGAGUGCCCGCCAUGAUGAAUAAUUGAUUUUGAGUUUCAGCCUUGUGGAUCUCUAAGUAGUAUAAACUAUAAAGUAGAGGCUCGGCCCGUAUGGCCGUAUCACUCUCUACGUUUUAUAGGUGGAAUAAACGCCUCCCUCAAAGUGGAUUUCCCAUUGAUUGAAAAAAAGGUGAAACAAAAAUAAAAAGGGUUCGUACUUUAUUUGAAAGCGGAUGGAUUCUUUCCUCUACGUGUGCCCUCCUCCACCACGGGGUCAGAUGAUGAGAGUUACUCUCCGGCGAGUAGACAUCGACAGGAGUAAGCUUAUCUAAUCCCUGAACAGUACUAUAAACUAUAAGAAUCUGUGCUGAACAUCCUCUGUAAUCAUGCAUGUUCCCGUAGCUAUAACAUACUUUAAUUCAGGGAUUUGCUCAUAUAAUCUCAUCAAAGGAGGAGUCAUUUUCAUUGUUA